AAAACUCUAAGCGGUGGAUCACUCGGCUCAUGGGUCGAUGAAGAACGCAGCAAACUGUGCGUCAUCGUGUGAACUGCAGGACACAUGAACAUCGACAUUUUGAACGCAUAUCGCAGUCCAUGCUGUUAUGUACUUUAAUUAAUUUUAUAGUGCUGCUUGGACUACAUAUGGUUGAGGGUUGUAAGACUAUGCUAAUUAAGUUGCUUAUAAAUUUUUAUAAGCAUAUGGUAUAUUAUUGGAUAAAUAUAAUAAUUUUUAUUCAUAAUAUUAAAAAAUAAAUGAAAAACAUUAUCUCACAUUUGAAUGUGAAAAACGAAGAGAAAUAUUUUCUUUUUCAAUCAAAUAAUACUGAGAAAUGUCUAGCAUAAAAAAUUGAAAUAUUUUUCAUCUAGAAUUGUCUCUUAUUAAUGAUUCGGAAAUAGAAAAAUCUUGGUUAUGUUAUUAUUCUUCGUUGGUUCGUUAAAAAUGGAUAAAUAAAAACUUUGCAUACAAGAAUUAAUAAAAAUGUUAUAACGAAUUUAAUUAAAUGUUUUAUCAUUAUAUAUAAAGAAUUUAUGGCAAGAUAAAGUUAUAUACAACCUCAACUCAUAUGGGACUACCCCCUGAAUUUAAGCAUAUUAAUUAGGGGAGGAAAAGAAACUAACAAGGAUUUUCUUAGUAGCGGCGAGCGAAAAGAAAACAGUUCAGCACUAAGUCACUUUGUCUAUAUGGCAAAUGUGAGAUGCAGUGUAUGGAGCGUCAAUAUUCUAGUAUGAGAAAUUAACGAUUUAAGUCCUUCUUAAAUGAGGCCAUUUACCCAUAGAGGGUGCCAGGCCCGUAUAACGUUAAUGAUUACUAGAUGAUGUUUCCAAAGAGUCGUGUUGCUUGAUAGUGCAGCACUAAGUGGGUGGUAAACUCCAUCUAAAACUAAAUAUAACCAUGAGACCGAUAGUAAACAAGUACCGUGAGGGAAAGUUGAAAAGAACUCUGAAUAGAGAGUUAAACAGUACGUGAAACUGCUUAGAGGUUAAGCCCGAUGAACCUGAAUAUCCGUUAUGGAAAAUUCAUCAUUAAAAUUGUAAUAUUUAAAUAAUAUUAUGAGAAUAGUGUGCAUUUUUUCCAUAUAAGGACAUUGUAAUCUAUUAGCAUAUACCAAAUUUAUCAUAAAAUAUAACUUAUAGUUUAUUCCAAUUAAAUUGCUUGCAUUUUAACACAGAAUAAAUGUUAUUAAUUUGAUAAAGUGCUGAUAGAUUUAUAUGAUUACAGUGCGUUAAUUUUUCGGAAUUAUAUAAUGGCAUAAUUAUCAUUGAUUUUUGUGUUUAUUAUAUGCACUUGUAUGAUUAACAAUGCGAAAGAUUCAGGAUACCUUCGGGACCCGUCUUGAAACACGGACCAAGGAGUCUAACAUAUGUGCAAGUUAUUGGGAUAUAAACCUAAUAGCGUAAUUAACUUGACUAAUAAUGGGAUUAGUUUUUUAGCUAUUUAUAGCUAAUUAACACAAUCCCGGGGCGUUCUAUAUAGUUAUGUAUAAUGUAUAUUUAUAUUAUUUAUGCCUCUAACUGGAACGUACCUUGAGCAUAUAUGCUGUGACCCGAAAGAUGGUGAACUAUACUUGAUCAGGUUGAAGUCAGGGGAAACCCUGAUGGAAGACCGAAACAGUUCUGACGUGCAAAUCGAUUGUCAGAAUUGAGUAUAGGGGCGAAAGACCAAUCGAACCAUCUAGUAGCUGGUUCCUUCCGAAGUUUCCCUCAGGAUAGCUGGUGCAUUUUAAUAUUAUAUAAAAUAAUCUUAUCUGGUAAAGCGAAUGAUUAGAGGCCUUAGGGUCGAAACGAUCUUAACCUAUUCUCAAACUUUAAAUGGGUAAGAACCUUAACUUUCUUGAUAUGAAGUUCAAGGUUAUGAUAUAAUGUGCCCAGUGGGCCACUUUUGGUAAGCAGAACUGGCGCUGUGGGAUGAACCAAACGUAAUGUUACGGUGCCCAAAUUAACAACUCAUGCAGAUACCAUGAAAGGCGUUGGUUGCUUAAAACAGCAGGACGGUGAUCAUGGAAGUCGAAAUCCGCUAAGGAGUGUGUAACAACUCACCUGCCGAAGCAACUAGCCCUUAAAAUGGAUGGCGCUUAAGUUGUAUACCUAUACAUUACCGCUAAAGUAGAUGAUUUAUAUUACUUGUGAUAUAAAUUUUGAAACUUUAGUGAGUAGGAAGGUACAAUGGUAUGCGUAGAAGUGUUUGGCGUAAGCCUGCAUGGAGCUGCCAUUGGUACAGAUCUUGGUGGUAGUAGCAAAUAAUCGAAUGAGACCUUGGAGGACUGAAGUGGAGAAGGGUUUCGUGUGAACAGUGGUUGAUCACGAGUUAGUCGGUCCUAAGUUCAAGGCGAAAGCCGAAAAUUUUCAAGUAAAACAAAAAUGCCUAACUAUAUAAACAAAGCGAAUUAUAAUACACUUGAAUAAUUUUGAACGAAAGGGAAUACGGUUCCAAUUCCGUAACCUGUUGAGUAUCCGUUUGUUAUUAAAUAUGGGCCUCGUGCUCAUCCUGGCAACAGGAACGACCAUAAAGAAGCCGUCGAGAGAUAUCGGAAGAGUUUUCUUUUCUGUUUUAUAGCCGUACUACCAUGGAAGUCUUUCGCAGAGAGAUAUGGUAGAUGGGCUAGAAGAGCAUGACAUAUACUGUUGUGUCGAUAUUUUCUCCUCGGACCUUGAAAAUUUAUGGUGGGGACACGCAAACUUCUCAACAGGCCGUACCAAUAUCCGCAGCUGGUCUCCAAGGUGAAGAGUCUCUAGUCGAUAGAAUAAUGUAGGUAAGGGAAGUCGGCAAAUUAGAUCCGUAACUUCGGGAUAAGGAUUGGCUCUGAAGAUUGAGAUAGUCGGGCUUGAUUGGGAAACAAUAACAUGGUUUAUGUGCUCGUUCUGGGUAAAUAGAGUUUCUAGCAUUUAUGUUAGUUACUUGUUCCCCGGAUAGUUUAGUUACGUAGCCAAUUGUGGAACUUUCUUGCUAAAAUUUUUAAGAAUACUAUUUGGGUUAAACCAAUUAGUUCUUAUUAAUUAUAACGAUUAUCAAUUAACAAUCAAUUCAGAACUGGCACGGACUUGGGGAAUCCGACUGUCUAAUUAAAACAAAGCAUUGUGAUGGCCCUAGCGGGUGUUGACACAAUGUGAUUUCUGCCCAGUGCUCUGAAUGUCAAAGUGAAGAAAUUCAAGUAAGCGCGGGUCAACGGCGGGAGUAACUAUGACUCUCUUAAGGUAGCCAAAUGCCUCGUCAUCUAAUUAGUGACGCGCAUGAAUGGAUUAACGAGAUUCCUACUGUCCCUAUCUACUAUCUAGCGAAACCACAGCCAAGGGAACGGGCUUGGAAUAAUUAGCGGGGAAAGAAGACCCUUUUGAGCUUGACUCUAAUCUGGCAGUGUAAGGAGACAUAAGAGGUGUAGAAUAAGUGGGAGAUAUUAGACCUCGGUUUGGUAUCGUCAAUGAAAUACCACUACUCUUAUUGUUUCCUUACUUACUUGAUUAAAUGGAACGUGUAUCAUUUCCUAGCCAUUAUACGGAUAUAUUUAUUAUAUCUUAUGGUAUUGGGUUUUGAUGCAAGCUUCUUGAUCAAAGUAUCACGAGUUUGUUAUAUAAUCGCAAACAAAUUCUUUAAUAAAACGAUGCAUUUAUGUAUUUUUGAUUUGAAAAUUUGGUAUAACUCCAAUUACUCAGGUAUGAUCCAAUUCAAGGACAUUGCCAGGUAGGGAGUUUGACUGGGGCGGUACAUCUCUCAAAUAAUAACGGAGGUGUCCCAAGGCCAGCUCAGUGCGGACAGAAACCACACAUAGAGCAAAAGGGCAAAUGCUGACUUGAUCUCGGUGUUCAGUACACACAGGGACAGCAAAAGCUCGGCCUAUCGAUCCUUUUGGUUUAAAGAGUUUUUAACAAGAGGUGUCAGAAAAGUUACCAUAGGGAUAACUGGCUUGUGGCGGCCAAGCGUUCAUAGCGACGUCG
rnacentral:rRNA from 1 species